rnacentral:rRNA from 1 species
GACGAACGCUGGCGGCGUGCUUAACACAUGCAAGUCGAGCGGUAAGGCCCUUUCGGGGGUACACGAGCGGCGAACGGGUGAGUAACACGUGGGUGACCUGCCCUCAGCUCUGGGAUAAGCCUGGGAAACUGGGUCUAAUACUGGAUAUGACUCCACGGUGCAUGUCGUGGGGUGGAAAGCCUUGUGCGGCUGAGGAUGGGCCCGCGGCCUAUCGGCUUGUUGGUGGGGUGAUGGCCUACCAAGGCGACGACGGGUAGCCGGCCUGAGAGGGCGACCGGCCACACUGGGACUGAGACACGGCCCAGACUCCUACGGGAGGCAGCAGUGGGGAAUCUUGCGCAAUGGGCGAAAGCCUGACGCAGCGACGCCGCGUGAGGGAUGACGG